UGGCGGCGUGCCUAACACAUGCAAGUCAACGGGGAUUGUUUCGGCAGAAUCCUAGUGGCGAACGGGUGAGUAACGCGUAGGCGAACCUGCCCUCCGCCGGGGGACAACAACUCCAAAGGGGUGCUAAUACCGGAUACGAAGUCUGUGCCGCAUGGUACGGAUUUGAAAGAUGGCCUCUAUUUAUAAGCUAUCGCCGGGGGAUGGGCCUGCGUCCGAUUAGCUGGUUGGUGGGGUAACGGCCUACCAAGGCGACGAUCGGUAGCCGGUCUGAGAGGAUGAACGGCCACAUUGGGACUGAGACACGGCCCAGACUCCUACGGGAGGCAGCAGUGGGGAAUCUUCCGCAAUGGGCGCAAGCCUGACGGAGCAACGCCGCGUUGAGUGAGGAAGUUCUUCGGAACGUAAAGCUCUGUUGUUCCUGACGAACCUCCCCUCUAUCAACAACGGAGGGGACUGACGGUAGGGAACGAGGAAGCCACGGCUGACUACGUGCCAGCCGCCGC
rnacentral:rRNA from 1 species